AGGCGCGAGCGAGCAUCGAUCGACUCGCGCUCAGUCCGCCGGGGCGGCCGGCGAGAGCGCGCGUGUCAUGCGCUGCCGCUGAAAUGGCCGGCGCUCGGGCGCUCGUCACCGCCUGCUGCUGCUGGUGGUGGCUGAUUACCGCAGCCGCCACCGAGCUAGACUUGCUGGGCGCUCUGUCGCUGCACAACACGUCGCGCGCCGGCGUCACCGCCGCGCCGGGGAUGCAGCCGCAGCGCACCGCUUAUACGUUACAAGGAGAAUCUCGUUCCCUGCAAGUGGAGGGCGCAGUGUUCGAGCGCGCUGCCGAACUCCUGCGUCGCUCGCCCGAGUUCACGGUGCUGGCCUCACUGCGCCAGGAGCCCGCCAACUCCGGCACCAUACUGUCCUUCUCGCACGGCUACAACAGGUACCUGGAGGUGCAGUCGAGCGGGCGGCGCGACGAGGUGCGCCUGCACUAUGUGGCGGCCGGCGGCACGGCGGCGCGCGUCGAGACCUUCCCGUUCCGGCUGGCGGACGGCGCGUGGCACCGCCUGGCGGUGGCCGUGUCGGGCGCGCAGGCCACGCUGCUGGUGGACUGCCACCCGCUGUACCGCCGCCUCAUCCCGCCGCCCGACCGCAACUUCACGCAGCCGCAGCUGGCACUCUGGCUCGGUCAGAGAAAUAGCAAACAUUCCUUAUUUAAGGGUACAUUACAAGAAGUAAGACUGGUAAGCGGGCCUCACGGCUACCUGGCACAAUGUCCGGGGCUGGACUCGGAAUGCCCCACGUGUGGGCAAUUCGCUCUGCUGCAGGCUACUGUGCAGGAGCUCACUACACAUAUCCAUGACCUCUCACUCAAGUUGGUUGGCACAGAGGCGCGGUUGGCACGUCUGGAACAAUGUGAUUGUCAGAAGUCGUGCUUCUCAAACGGCACAGUCCACGCCGACGGCGCCUCGUGGCAACGAGACUGCAAUCGCUGCUCCUGUGUGCACGGCGAGAUAACGUGCAGGCCAGUCGAGUGCGAUCGAGCUGAGUGUAAGAACCCGGUGCUGCACCCGGGGGAGUGUUGUCCAACAUGUUUAAGGCAGUGCCUUCUAAAGGGCACACUAUACGAGCACGGCGAGCGGUUCGCGCCGAAGGAGUGCGCGGAGUGCGUCUGCCACGACGGCAACAUGCAGUGCACGCGAGUGGAUCCUGAGCGCGCGUGCCCGCCGCUGCCGUGCGACGUGGCCGACCAGUUCACCGUGCCCGGCGAGUGCUGCAAGUUCUGUCCAGGAGUGGACUAUUGCAGCAUGGGUCACUCGUGCGACGAGAACGCGACGUGCAUGAAUCUUAACACCAAAUACACGUGCAAAUGUAACCAGGGCUUCCAAGGCGACGGAAUUACUUGUCAAGAUGUGGACGAGUGCCAGCGCGCGGGCGGGCUGGACGGGCACCACUGCCACUCCAACACUCGCUGCGUCAACGUGGUGGGAGGAUACGUGUGCCAGUGCCUGCCGGGGUAUACCAGGAGAGACAAGUUCAAUUGUGUUGAAGUAGACGAGUGCUUGGGCGAGACGCAUGGCUGCCACGCGCAUGCUGUAUGCAGCAACACUCCUGGAUCCUACACGUGCCGCUGUCGGGAAGGGUACGAGGGAGACGGAUAUGAGUGCUCACCGAUCUGCACGGGCGGGUGCCUGAACGGCGGCGCGUGCGUGUCGCGCGAGCAGUGCGCGUGCGCGCCGGGCUUCGGCGGCGCGCGCUGCGAGCGCGACGUGGACGAGUGCCGCGCGACCGACGCGCCCGCCCACGCCUGCCCCGUCCACGCGCUCUGCGUCAACACGCCCGGCAGCUACUACUGCGUCUGCGCAGAGGGGUACACCAGGGACGCCGUCUUGGAUACUUGUCAAGAUGUAGACGAGUGCGUAGAGGGGUUUCACACGUGCCACCCAAGCGCGCGAUGCGUCAACACUGACGGCGGCUUCCGAUGUGAAUGUGAUUCAGAGGAACACUGUGAAUUGAGUUGUUCGUGGCAAGGCCGCAUCAUGUCUGACGGCGCGUCGUGGUCGGAGGCGGGCGGCUGCCGCGCGUGCUCCUGCGCCGCCGGCGUCGCCGUGUGCCGCCGCGCCGCCUGCGCCUGCGACCUGCACGAUAACCAUACUACUGCGUUGCAGAGCACGGUGCUGCCGCGGCUGGCGCCGGCGGCGUGCUGCCCGCACUGCGAGGCGCGCUUCCACUGCCGCCACCAGGAACUGCACCACGUCACCUUCCGCAGCGGCGAGCGCUGGCUCUACCAGUGCCAGAUCUGCGAGUGCCUCCUUGGUGAGGUGGACUGUUGGGAGCCGGAGUGCGGGGAGUCGGGCGCGGGCUGCUGCGCGGAGGGCGGGGCGGGCGGGGAGGGCGCCGCGCCGCCGCGCCGCCUGGAGCUGGGCGCGUGCGCGCCGCCGCACUGCGCCUGCACGGUGCGUCACACACCUCACAGAUAGCACCACAGCCCGGCCCCUCGAGCCUGGCAGAAUACUCGUACAAACAUCAUCAUUUCACUAAUCCCUGAAACGACAUCAGCUCAUCCUUAUGGGGUUUGACAUUAGAGUUUUUUCAAACUUCAAUGGUCGACUUUCCCAAAGAACCUAAUCUGCAAUUUUGCAUCAUCACUAACCAAUGUAUGAGCAGUGUUGCCGAGGUCCUUGCGGCCAUAGUUCUUGCCAGCCUCGACGGGCUCGUGUGCUCAGCGCUUGACUAAUGCUUGGCUCGGCCGGCCGGCUGGCAGGCUGGCUGGCUGACGGCCGGAGAGUGACGCGUUACGCUUGUUGCAGGGCGGCCAGUGUGCUACUUUGGUCGCGGGCGGCGCUGCUGGCGACGCUGGCGUGGUGGGGGCGCGCGGCGCUGUGGUGGGGCCGCGCGGCGCCGCACCGCAAGCACCGCGGCGCGCGGCGCUAGAGCCGCCCUGAGCCGCGCACAUAGCUCCUCUAUUUAUUCUAGAUAGAUCUAAUGUUACGCGCCGCGCUCCGCCCGCGCCGCCGCACGUCGCUCGUCGCGCGGAGCGGGCGGCGGAGCGGGCGCGGGCGGCGGCGGCGAGCGAGCGGAGCGAGUGUACAGUGUCGAGCACGCCCGCCGCCCGCGCCCGCGCCCUGUUGUACCAAAUUUUUCAUAAUAUAUUAUAGUUUUUGUUUGACUUUAUAUAGAGAUCGUUUUUCUUGUAUAAUUUGAAAGUAACCAAAAAUAGGUACCAAAUAUAGAAAAGAUAUGAUUGUUUUUAAUUUUCAUAAAGCAUUUUAAUGCUUGCAUGUUGUAUUGUGUUCAAAAAAUUACGAUUAAAAAGAUAUCCUCGA